UGAGGAAUAUUGGUCAAUGGGCGAGAGCCUGAACCAGCCAAGUAGCGUGCAGGAUGACGGCCCUAUGGGUUGUAAACUGCUUUUAUAUGGGAAUAAAGUGAGGGACGUGUCCCUUAUUGCAUGUACCAUACGAAUAAGGACCGGCUAAUUCCGUGCCAGCAGCCGCGGUAAUACGGAAGGUCCAGGCGUUAUCCGGAUUUAUUGGGUUUAAAGGGAGCGUAGGCUGUCUAUUAAGCGUGUUGUGAAAUUUACCGGCUCAACCGGUGGCUUGCAGCGCGAACUGGUCGACUUGAGUAUGCAGGUAGUAGGCGGAAUUCAUGGUGUAGCGGUGAAAUGCUUAGAUAUCAUGACGAACUCCGAUUGCGCAGGCAGCUUACUGUAGCAUAACUGACGCUGAUGCUCGAAAGUGCGGGUAUCAAACAGG
rnacentral:rRNA from 1 species